rnacentral:rRNA from 1 species
UACGAAGGGGGCUAGCGUUGCUCGGAAUCACUGGGCGUAAAGCGCACGUAGGCGGGCCUUUAAGUCAGGGGUGAAAUCCUGGAGCUCAACUCCAGAACUGCCUUUGAUACUGAGGAUCUCGAGUCCGGGAGAGGUGAGUGGAACUCCGAGUGUAGAGGUGAAAUUCGUAGAUAUUCGCAAGAACACCAGUGGCGAAGGCGGCUCACUGGCCCGAUACUGACGCUGAGGCACGAAAGCGUGGGGAGCAAACAGG